AUGGCUCCUGCAAUCAACUCUGCAAAACUACUAUAAUUGUGCAUCCUUGUUUUUGCCUUGAUCUCAAGGCAUAGUCCAUCUUGAAACAUUUGAUAUUUUUUUUUCUCAUCUACUAUGAAUGCUGGAGCAAAAUGAGAUAGUUCAAUAAGUUUGGCUUCAUAAUCAACUACUGUCAUCUUUUCUUGUGUCAAACUGAGAAAUUUCUUUCUCUUCUGA
rnacentral:lncRNA from 1 species